rnacentral:rRNA from 1 species
GACGAACGCUGGCGGCGUGCUUAACACAUGCAAGUCGAACGGAGUGGCGAAAGGGUGAGUAACACGUGGGUGAUCUGCCUUGCACUUCGGGAUAAGCUGGGGAAACUGGGUAUAAUACCGGAUAGUGCAAGAUGAGCUCGCGUCCUUUCAGCUUGUUGGUGGGGUAAUGGCGUACCAGGGCGUCGACGGGAAGCCGGCCUGAGAGGGUGUACGGCCACAUUGGGACUGAGAUACGGCCCAGAGUCCUACGGGAGGCAGCAGUGGUGAAUAUUGCACAAUGGGCGGAAGCCGGAUGCAGGGACGCCGCGUGGGGAAUGAAGGCCUUCGGGUUGUAAACUCCUUUCGACAGGGACGCGGUACCUGUAUAGGAAGCACCGGCUAACUACGUGCCAGCAGCCGCGGUAAUUC